UACACUUUGAGGUCUCAUAGAAUCCAGUCUUGGAAAUAACCAACGGCAGUAGUACCAUAAUAAUAGAAUAAGCAGUACAGCUCAAAAUUCAUAGUACUACUACAUGCAUGUACUGCAAACUUGCAAAGUACAAACAUUCCCCCUUUGUGCGAUUACAAAUAGAAUCACAAGGAAUCCAUUUUAUAUAUAAUUUAACAAACCAAAAUUUCAAUGAAAACGCAAUCUCACAGAUUUUUAUAAGAGUAAUUGAAGCUGGUUAAGGAAGAGAGGUAAGCUAUUGCAAUUGUGAUGCUGUUGCCGAGACUUCUAAAAGUUUAAUAUUGCAGAUGUAAUUAUGGUUGCAGAGGAUAAUUUAAAACUGAGCAAAAGUAUGGUUUGGACACGAUGCAACUCAUAUCUCAAUUAUCAUUUCACUCAUUCUAGUUUCAAAUGUCUCUACAUUUUUAUAGUAGGCUUAUUCUGUAACUUCUUGUACUAUAUCUAUAUGUAUGUUUAACACUAAAUACCACAUCUUAAUGCAAGUUACUUCAAAAUGCUGAAGCUCCAAAA